UCGCCAGCUCUGUGUGCCCAGCCCCGGCUAAGUGCUCUGCAGUCACCAGCUGGCAUCUGCGAUCAAGCACUGGAGACUGUUCAGCCCAUACACAGAGCCACUGGUGUCUGGGAAUCUUGCAGCCCCCAAGGCCACACUCCCUCCUACCUUUCCCCGAGGCCAGGGCUAGUGACUGACUGGUUUGGGAGUUCAAAAGCCCAGCUUUCUCGUCUCAAAGAAAGAGAUGCUCUGAGGCAUAUUUACUCUCCAGAGCUCCUCUGAAGCAGGCCAAUGCUGUCCUUCUGGUCACUCGCUCAUCGGUGUCGCCUAGGAGCCUUUCCUUAACGCAUCUCUUGUACCUGAUUCCGUGACUCGGGGUCUGCUUCUGGGAGAACCUGACCUAAGGGAACAGGCUUCCAUCAGAUGAUUUUUUUGAAGGGAAUAAAGUUCUGUGCUGAAUCAAGUACAAGAAGCAUACCCGGUUGUAAAACUGCGACCACGUGAUUGAGAACAUUGCAAAUGUGAAGGGUCAGGAGAAAACAAGCAUGUUCCACUCACCCCAGUCUGUGCAAGCUCAGCUAUGACAGGCUAGGCGACGCCUGUGGCCUUGUCAGUUCGCGGUGGAAGAGAGGGAGGAAUCCCUUGCCCAGGUGGACUCCUUUCUCUGUUGUUUGUGCCUUCUGCCUGCCUGCUGCCAGCACCCUCUGUCGCCCUCUGAACGGUUGGGCCCCUCACCCUUGCCCUGUCCUGACUUCACCAGGGAGCAGCUUUACCUUUUAUUUUUUUAGAUUAUUUUUAAAAUGUACUUCUUAGUUAUAGUACAUACAAUAUUAUAUUAGUUUCAGGUGUUCCACACAGUGAUUGAUGUUUAUGUACCUUAUGAAGUGAUCCCCCAAUAAGUGUGGUACCCAUCUGACAUCAUACAGUGUUACUGACUAUAUUCCUUGUAGCUUUAAAUCUCCGGUGCAGGCUUGUGCUGUCAGAUGAUCCCCAUUUGAGACUCAGUUGGUAGAUGACAUCACCGGGCACGAAGCUCCCUGAAACUGUCAUUGGAGGCCUCACACUAAUCCCUAACUUGACAGUUCUCCAAACAAAUUACAUUGACAUAAAAUGGUUAUAUCACUUGUUUGGGGGGAGGGGGGAGGGCGGGGACAAGAAGAGAAGCUGGCAACACUGCAAUUAGAUUUGAGAAACUUCAGGUGAAAUUUCAUUGGCAUAAGACCCCCUGAGCUUUCUAGAAACCAGAUUAUGCAAGUAGAUCAGCCUAACCAUGUACAUUCAGAGUGAAUGUGUCCUCGCAGGCAGGUUUCUCAGGGACUCUUGGAUGGAGAGAGGUUUUAAAGGUGAGGAAUUACAUACUAAGGCUUCCAGUUCUGGGAAGAUCAGAUGUAAGACGUGCAGAGGCACCACUGGAAGGAGGCCUGAAUGGUGGGAAAUGAACAGGCCUCUGAGAGACACUUGAGAAAGCCAGCCUCCAGACUUCCCUCUGACCAGCAAUCUUCCUCCAUGGACCUCUCCUAUUCAGUGCCCCCAAAUAGUGAUGAAACCAGUGGGACUUAUAAUUGGAAAUCUACACGUUGGAUUUUAAGGUCACUCAUUUUGUUGUUUUUUUAACGUGAAGCAAAUUAAUAGAUGCCCUUGAAUAAUGCUGUAGUUCUUAGUAUUAUGCAGUCACUGAAAUAUUGGAGAUUAGUUUCCAUGGCUACCAACAGAACGAAACUGGCUUACUUUAGACUGUUUUUAAAGGACAAAACACACAAGCUAUUUGAAUCUCCAUGCCCGGAAGCAGUAGCUUCUAUUUGGCCGGGAGAUUUUAGUAUCAAUAAUUUUGUAAACUUUAUUAGCAUCGGUGCUGUGGGCUCUCCGCCAGUGGUUAGACUCUGAAAGCAGAGAAUUUACAAGUCUAAAUGCCAGAAUCACCUGAUGGUAAAAAAGGAGUGGGGCCUCGUCUUGUUUGUGUCUCAGUAAGUGCUUGUGACAGGUCAGUACAAGAUAUUUGAUUCCCUGCAGUCUUGUGUCUUAAUUUGAUCUUCAUGGGGUCGGGCUGGCAUGUUCCAUUUAUCUCUGUUUACCUGUAAUAAAGACUAAGCGGUAAGGACA